AGUUAACGCUGGCGGUAGUCCUAACCCAUGCAAGUCGAACGGCAGCACAGUAAUAGCUUGCCUUUAUGGGUUGCGAGUGGCGGACGUGUCAGGUACCCAUCGGCAUCUACUUUUUCAUGCGUGAUAACGCAGGCAUACGUCUGCUAAUACCGCAUAAGUCCUCCGGGGGUACUCAGUAGUCCUUUCGCUCUUGCUCGGUUGAAUGACCCGAUUCCGCAUUAUCUAUUUGUCGCGGUAACGGCCCACCAAGUCGACGAUCCUGAGCUGGUCCGACUGGAUGAUCCGCCACACUGGACCUGAGCCACGGUCCAGACUCCUACGGGAGGCCGCAGUGGGGAAUAUUGGACAAUGGGCGCAAGCCUGCUCCAGCCAUACCGCGUGGGUCAAGAAGGCCUUCGGGUUGUAAAGCCCUUUUGUUGGGAAAGAAAAGCAGCAGAUUAAUACCCCGCUGUUCUGACGGUACCCAACGAAUAAGCACCGGCUAACUUCGUG
rnacentral:rRNA from 1 species